rnacentral:lncRNA from 1 species
GUAACAAUCUUCAAAGAAAAUAUGCUAGAAUAUUUUUCAGCCGAUAAAUGAGACAAAAAUAGAGCAAUUUGAAUACAUAUAUACAUCUGAAUACAUAAAUUAUAUUAAUUAAAAAAAUAUAUGAAUAACUUCACGGAAUACAACGAGAUAGUGAAUAUAAUGAAGUAAUAGAAUACAGCGAGAUACAUUAAAAAUGAAAAAAGGCAAUAAAUACAAUAAAAUACAACGAGAUAUAUUGAAAUAUAUUAGCAGAAAAUUCAAGUUGCUCAGCCCCAAACUCCGCCGUCUUCGUUCAAGAACAACCCUAAUGACGUCUUGUCAAGAAGAUCGCGAUUCUGACUCGAAACACCAUUCUUCCUGUUACCAUAAUACCCGCAUGUGCGCUUCAAAUAACCUAUUCUUUACAAUUUAUAGUAAACUAUAUUCCGGCUCUUUUAACUUUCGUUUAAAAAAAAAAGGGAAUUCACUGGUUUUGAAACUUCAAAAUAGAUAAAGGUUGCAACUUCCCAUGCUUAUAAAGUGGUUUUUCUUGGAAUUGUAGCAUGCGGAGUUUUCUAUCGAUGUCCAAAGUUUGUGCAACUUGAAUUUGAGAUCCUAGGAGGCUUGAUGGAGUUCAAGAAAAUUUAAGUUGAUCAGCGAUGAUGGUGAGGUUGUUGCAGCCUCAGUAAUUCUUUAUCCAAGAACUCUAAUUCUGAAGCAGAGUGUUCGGCAAUGGUGAGGUUGAAGCAGAAUUUCCGCAGAGAAACUCUAAUUUUGAUGCUUUCCCGGAGAAAUUUGGUAGUAAAAUGAAGGUGGAAGAUGAGAGAGAGGGAGAGAGGGAGAAUAAACACGGGUAUGGAUACAAGAAAUUUGAGGGAAU